AACACCCUACAGUAACAAAGAAAUCAUGAAAACUUCUUGCUACUCCAGCUAAUUAGCAGAUAAGAGAAACAAUACCGAUCCGGAGGCUCGUGGAAAAUAAGUCCUUUUGGGCUUCAAAAAAGGUCUAACUUUGUUUUCUUAAACUGUUGGUUUGGUUCACUUUUCUUUUACUACUAAUUAGUAAGCUUGCACAUGCAAAGCACAUCUGGACAAACAUUGAAAAUUUGGAAGUCACAUAACCACACUAUAGUCUAUCCGAAUUUAGAAGAAUCUUAAGUUCUUGGGGUUUUACCCUAGGAUCUAUUUUUACCCAUGUGUUCUAAGCAGUGCAAGAGGCACCCAUCAACUCAGCAAUUGUUUCAAAUCUAGGACUUCUCUAACUACAAAAUAUAAAAUUCUCGAGCACAAAUUACGCUUACUAUAAUAGCUAAUUCGCUCUUAAAUUUUUACAGUGUAUACGCUGUGAGGAACAACGGUUGCAGGGUCUCCCAGUACAUCGAUGCACUUGCAAUUUUGAGUCCUUGCAAACCAUGUGGCAGUUCUUGAGCUUGAGAUAAUGGUUUUUUGUAUUUGUGUGGAAGCUCUAAGACAAUGAUUCCCCACCAUUAAAUAAAGGGGGUUGUUUGCUGUCAAAAAAAAAAAUACAAUGAUUCCCCAAGCUAGUUUGCUUAAGAAUCAGUUUGCGGUUGUUAAAUUGUGUUUGUUAUGCUAAAUUUAUUUUAUAAUGCGCUCUAAAAAAUGCACACAAAAACAAAAUAAAAAUUGAAUAGAAAAACAAUAAAAUAGACAAAACCGGUGUGACAAACAGGAUUAUGAAAAUACACCGUAAUCAGAUGCAACCAAAGUCAUACCGACGUGACAUCAUGAGCAUGUAGCCUUCUCGGGGUUCUAUAACCACAUGCCAUUUGAACAUAUCAUUAGAAGAGUUACAUGUGAUGACGUGAUACAAGAAAACAAAAGGAUCGUUCAACCAGAAAAAAACGUGUACCGUUCACAAAAUGGCUCUUCGUUUGCAUUAUUCUAUUGAAACUGGCCCUAUGGUUGUUUGAGUUCCUGGGACAAGAUAUUGCGUAUCGCAAUCAAUCGAAAUGGAAUAGCCAAUCUUGAUUGGAUUGUCGUAUAUUUAGCAACGUCCUUUAAAGUUAAAGUAGGGUCCCA
rnacentral:lncRNA from 1 species